GCGCGCAAAUUACCCAAUCCCGACACGGGGAGGUAGUGACAAUAAAUACUGAUACAGGGCUCUUUUGGGUCUUGUAAUUGGAAUGAGUACAAUUUAAAUCCCUUAACGAGGAACAAUUGGAGGGCAAGUCUGGUGCCAGCAGCCGCGGUAAUUCCAGCUCCAAUAGCGUAUAUUAAAGUUGUUGUGGUUAAAAAGCUCGUAGUUGAACCUUGGGCCUGGCUGGCCGGUCCGCCUCACCGCGUGUACUGGUCCGGCCGGGCCUUUCCCUCUGUGGAACCCCAUGCCCUUCACUGGGUGUGGCGGGGAAACAGGACUUUUACUUUGAAAAAAUUAGAGUGCUCCAGGCAGGCCUAUGCUCGAAUACAUUAGCAUGGAAUAAUAGAAUAGGACGUGUGGUUCUAUUUUGUUGGUUUCUAGGACCGCCGUAAUGAUUAAUAGGGACAGUCGGGGGCAUCAGUAUUCAAUUGUCAGAGGUGAAAUUCUUGGAUUUAUUGAAGACUAACUACUGCGAAAGCAUUUGCCAAGGAUGUUUUCAUUAAUCAGGAACGAAAGUUAGGGGAUCGAAGACGAUCAGAUACCGUCGUAGUCUUAACCAUAAACUAUGCCGACUAGGGAUCGGACGAUGUUAUUUUUUGACUCGUUCGGCACCUUACGAGAAAUCAAAGUGCUUG
rnacentral:rRNA from 1 species